rnacentral:rRNA from 1 species
GACGAACGCUGGCGGCGUGCUUAACACAUGCAAGUCGAACGAUGAAGCCUUCGGGUGGAUUAGUGGCGAACGGGUGAGUAACACGUGGGUGAUCUGCCCUGCACUUUGGGAUAAGCCUGGGAAACUGGGUCUAAUACCGAAUAGGACUCCGCGCUUCAUGGCGUGGGGUGGAAAGCUUUUGCGGUGUGGGAUGGGCCCGCGGCCUAUCAGCUUGUUGGUGGGGUAAUGGCCUACCAAGGCGACGACGGGUAGCCGGCCUGAGAGGGUGACCGGCCACACUGGGACUGAGAUACGGCCCAGACUCCUACGGGAGGCAGCAGUGGGGAAUAUUGCACAAUGGGCGCAAGCCUGAUGCAGCGACGCCGCGUGAGGGAUGACGGCCUCGGUUGU